GACGAACGCUGGCGGCGUGCCUAAUACAUGCAAGUAGAGCGCUGAAGGUUGGUACUUGUUCCAACUGGAUGAGCAGCUAACGGGUGAGUAACGCGUGGGGAAUCUGCCUUUGAGCGGGGGACAACAUUUGGAAACGAAUGCUAAUACCGCAUAAAAACUUUAAACACAAGUUUUAAGUUUGAAAGAUGCAAUUGCAUCACUCAAAGAUGAUCCCGCGUUGUAUUAGCUAGUUGGUGAGGUAAAGGCUCACCAAGGCGAUGAUACAUAGCCGACCUGAGAGGGUGAUCGGCCACAUUGGGACUGAGACACGGCCCAAACUCCUACGGGAGGCAGCAGUAGGGAAUCUUCGGCAAUGGACGAAAGUCUGACCGAGCAACGCCGCGUGAGUGAAGAAGGUUUUCGGAUCGUAAAGCUCUGUUGGUAGAGAAGAACGUGUGUGAGAGUGGAAAGCUCAUCAAGUGACGGUAACUACCCAGAAAGGGACGGCUAACUACGUG
rnacentral:rRNA from 1 species